rnacentral:lncRNA from 1 species
AUUAAGUGUAGAUUAUUGUGAUUUAGUUAUUCAACCUUUCAAAAUUUUAAUUCUAUUAUUAAAUCUUUCACUUUUUUUAUUUGAGUUAGCUAAUAACAUUUUGACUUUAAAAUUUAAAUAUGUUGUUUAUCAUUACAGAUUUAGUUGGCAUAUUAAUUUAAUACAGUUUUGAAACUAUAGUUUUAAUAAUUAGUUUACAUUUUAAAACUAAAAUAUUAUUAACCGACUCAAAUUAUACAAAUUAAAAUAUUAG